GACCCCAGGUCAGGAUUGCAUUACCCGCUGAGUUUAAGCAUAUCAAUAAGCGGAGGA
rnacentral:rRNA from 1 species